rnacentral:rRNA from 1 species
GGGUGAGUAACACGUGGAUAACCUACCUAUAAGACUGGGAUAACUUCGGGAAACCGGAGCUAAUACCGGAUAAUAUAUUGAACCGCAUGGUUCAAUAGUGAAAGACGGUUUUGCUGUCACUUAUAGAUGGAUCCGCGCCGCAUUGGCUAGUUGGUAAGGUAACGGCUUACCAAGGCAACGAUGCGUAGCCGACCUGAGAGGGUGAUCGGCCACACUGGAACUGAGACACGGUCCAG